rnacentral:rRNA from 1 species
UAAGGAAUAUUGGUCAAUGGACGCAAGUCUGAACCAGCCAUGCCGCGUGAAGGAUGAAGGUCCUCUGGAUUGUAAACUUCUUUUAUCUGGGACGAAAACGGGAUUUUUAUCUCAAUUGACGGUACCUGAGGAAUAAGCACCGGCUAACUCCGUGCCAGCAGCCGCGGUAAUACGGAGGGUGCGAGCGUUAUCCGGAUUUACUGGGUUUAAAGGGUGCGUAGGUGGGCUUAUAAGUCAGUGGUGAAAUCUCCGAGCUUAACUUGGAAACUGCCGUUGAUACUAUAGGGCUUGUAUUAUCUGGAGGUAAGCGGAAUAUGUCAUGUAGCGGUGAAAUGCUUAGAUAUGACAUAGAACACCAAUUGCGAAGGCAGCUUACUACAUAUAAAUUGACGCUGAGGCACGAAAGCGUGGGGAUCAAAC